AUAUUGCACAAUGGGCGCAAGCCUGAUGCAGCCAUGCCGCGUGUGUGAAGAAGGCCUUCGGGUUGUAAAGCACUUUCAGCGGGGAGGAAGGCGUUAAGGUUAAUAACCUUGUCGAUUGACGUUACCCGCAGAAGAAGCACCGGCUAACUCCGUGCCAGCAGCCGCGGUAAUACGGAGGGUGCAAGCGUUAAUCGGAAUUACUGGGCGUAAAGCGCACGCAGG
rnacentral:rRNA from 1 species